rnacentral:rRNA from 1 species
AGUGAACGCUGGCGGCGUGCCUAAUACAUGCAAGUCGAACGGAGUGGCGCGCGGGUGGGUAAUGUAUAGCUAAUCUGCCCUCCACUAGAGGACAACAGUUGGAAACGACUGCUACUACUCUAUAGUGUAGGAUGAGGCUAUAUUGUAUCAGCUAGUUGGUGAGGUAAUGGCUCACCAAGGCUAUGACGCAUAACUGGUCUGAGAGGAUGAUCAGUAGAACUGGAACUGAGACACGGGCCGGACUCCUACGGGAAGCAGCAGUAGGGAAUAUUGGUCAAGGGGGGUAAACGUGAAGGAGCAACGGCGCGUGGAGGAUGACAAGUUUGGGAGAGGAAAUUCAUGUUGUUAGGGAAGCGGUACCUAACGAAUAAGCACCGGCUAACUCCGUGCCAGCAGCCGCGGUAAUUC